UACGUAUGGACCGAGCGUUGUCCGGAAUCAUUGGGCGUAAAGGGUACGUAGGCGGCCUAAUAAGUUAGAAGUGAAAGAAUAUAGCUCAACUAUAUAAAGCUUUUAAAACUGUUAGGCUUGAGAGAUGAAAGGGAAAGUGGAAUUCCUAGUGUAGCGGUGAAAUGCGCAGAUAUUAGGAAGAAUACCGGUGGCGAAGGCGACUUUCUGGUCAUCAUCUGACGCUGAGGUACGAAAGCGUGGGUAGCAAACAGG
rnacentral:rRNA from 1 species